rnacentral:rRNA from 1 species
CAAUAGCGUAUAUUAACGUUGUUGCAGUUAAAAAGCUCGUAGUUGGAUUUCUGGAGGGAGCGUCGGCCCGUAUUUACGAGUGCGUGACGUCUCUGUCCAUCCUUGCGGGAAGGCACGGCAUUGAUUUGUUGUGUCGGAUCGCAUCAUUUACUGUGAAAAAAUUAGAGUGUUCAAAGCAGGCUUUCGCUUGAAUACAUUAGCAUGGAAUAAUAAGAUAGGGCCUUGGUACUAUUUUGUUGGUUUGCGAAUUGAGGUAAUGAUUAACAGGGAUAGUCGGGGGUAUUCGUAUUCCAUUGUCAGAGGUGAAAUUCUUGGAUUUUUGGAAGACGAACUACUGCGAAAGCAUUUACCAAGGAUGUUUUCAUUAA